AACCCACCGAUGAUGCAGGUUAGAGAACUUUCCCUGUCAGUUGCAGCCACGAGCAAGCCCAUAGAAUUCCAUCCCUCUGAUCAUACGGGGCACAGACAGUGGCAAGAGCGAGCGAAUUGAAACUGAUGUGUGAAGCUACAGCAUCGUGCGCACAUUUACCAUACUAAUGUGGAGGUCGACUCGUCUUUAGUGUAUUGCUGAUUGUCCAUCUUAUUGACUAAUCAUCGAUGCUGGCUGAGUGAAAAUCACUUGCCUGGUUUUGUGGAUUGCGCUCUGACGGCUAGUUCAUUGUAUCCUGGUGCUCUCCAUCCGACGGACGCACAACAAGAGCUGGCUUGGAUAAGUGAUAGUUUGAAGAUGAAUACCAAACCAGAAAAGGAGAAUGAAUUGAAUCACGAGUAUACAAAUCACGAGGAGGAGGUCAGGACACUAUUUGUCAGCGGUCUGCCCCUGGACAUCAAGCCGAGGGAGCUCUACCUCCUCUUCAGACCAUUCAAGGGCUAUGAAGGCUCCUUAAUAAAGCUUACCUCAAAACAGCCGGUGGGGUUUGUCAGCUUCGACAGUCGAUCAGAGGCCGAGGCGGCGAAGAACGCCCUGAACGGAGUCCGCUUCGACCCAGAGAUUCCCCAGACCCUGCGUCUGGAGUUCGCCAAAGCCAACACCAAGAUGGCCAAGAGCAAACUCGUGGGCACCCCUAACCCUCCCCCGUCCCAGCAAAGCCCUGGACCCCCCUUCAUCAGCAGAGACCCCUAUGAGCUCACAGUCCCUGCCCUCUACCCGGGCAGCCCCGACAUGUGGGCCUCGUACCCUCUGUACCCCGCCGAGCUGUCGCCCGCCCUCCCACCCACUUUCACCUACCCUUCCUCGCUGCACGCUCAGAUUCGCUGGCUUCCCCCGGCAGAUGGCAGUCCUCAGGGCUGGAAGUCCCGACAGUUCUGCUGAAAAAUAUGUUCCUUUUGUGUGAUGGUGGCUAGGACUGGCCUUGAUGGAGUGUUGCGUGGCUUCUGCAGUCCAACCAGGGAGGUACCAGACCUCUCUACCCUUACAGUGGACCACUGGUAAAAACACCUCCCAGGAUUUCUGGACACUCAAGACCCCUUCUGCCUCCAUCACACAAUAUUAUCCUCUCUACCUCCCUCUCUCACUCACUCCCUCUCUCCCUCCCUCCCUCCCCUCCUCUUCUUUCCUUCCCCUUCUUUUUUAUUCUACUGUUACGCCAGAAGUCGUCCUGGUAACGCCUCCUUCAAUGGGCCCGUCGUAUAAGACCUACGGUCUCUGCGAGCCCCAAGCCUUAACACCCUCCUAAGCGAAGCUGUGAUGUUCACGUUGGUGCAGGUGUGCAGUUAGUGUGUGUGUGUGUGUGUGUGUGUUUGUAGGUGUACGAUGCUUAUGAAGGUGUUAAGGGCCGGAGGGACCCAAUCAUGUUUUAUAGUGCUCAUGUGAGCACGGCCUUUCAACAAGGCGAAGACUGACGGACCUGUAAAAUUUUAACCAAAGGAGCUUAUGAAAAUCAACAUUGUGUCGCUAGGAGUACAAAGCACGUACCAUGUGGUAUGCAGUGUGCAAUUCCUCAUGACAGUGUGUGUGUGUGUAUGUGUGUGUGUGUGUGUGUGUGUGUGUGUGUGUGUGUGUGUGUGUGUGUGUGUGUGUGUGUUUUUGGUCUGAAAGACAUCCUACUGAAGUGAAUAGUGGUGAAGUUGUUUUUACCAAAAAACACAACUAAACAUUGAGAUUGAUAGACAAGCAAGACAAUCCCUCAGCUGGGUCUGAAGACAGCAGAAACUUCACUUCAUUGCGCGCACAGACACACACACACACACACACAAUUAAACACUGUGAUUAAAAACUGAGAGUAGCCCCUGUCUGCCCUAGUUCAUCCUCGCCUCAAAGAAAUAAGUCAACAAAAUGGUGUGUAAUGUCUACCAACAUGUUUGAUACUUCUAGUAGACAGAGGUUGGUGAAUAUUAUCCGGUUCAGUGUAGAACAAGUGUAGUUUUAAAUACCAAGGAAUGUGGCGUAAACUAGUUGUCAUUAGAUGUGGUUCUAAUCAGUAGACUGAUGGUUAUUUUGAAAGGGAUAAGGCCCUACUGUGCAGUGUGCAAAGCCAAUAGCAUCGUGUGCACCAUAUGCCAAGCUCCUUUCAUUAAAAUGUUACUGAAUUAUUA